ACUAGUUGUGUAAUUUUUGGAACAUUGUUAACCUUUCUGAUUUCAGUUUCCUUAUCCUUAAAUUGAAAAUUCUAGUAGUUCCUACCUCAUAGGAUUGUUGUGAAGGUCAAAUGAGAUCAAAUACUUACAACUGGACCUAAGGGGCACUCAUUAUGAGUUAGCUGUUGUUACUAGUAACCCAUUGUCAUCCCUGUAGAUGUUUCAGGGGUUUGCCGUGGGGAACCCUGCCAUGCAGGCUUGUCUCAGGUUCUGACCCUGUGAUGGGGUCUGGUGUUCCCUGCCUCGUUUACCGCUCUUUCCCCAUACUUUGGUCUGACUCUCCAAUGAGCUCAUGAUUCCUAUGAGCGAUUUCUGUCUCUUGAUGAAUCUUUAGAUUUGUCCUUUGUCUUAGGCCUUGAGACUGCAGUAGAACCUUGUGGCCUAUUCUAACCCCAGCCCGGAAACCAAUGCCCCAACUCCAUUCUGGGCUGACUUCCUGGCUUCCUCCCACAACUUCCGGGUCUCUGUUUUUAUAUAUUGUUCCUAGACUAGGAUAUGGGUGUUCACAAAUGUUUGUUGAAAGGUUUUCAGAGGCAAUUAGGCAUAUUUAAGAAGUGAAUGAACACCUGCUCAUUGAUAUGCUGUCCAUAAACUAGGACACGGUGUUGAAUGAUGAUUUGACAGAGAUUUUAGAAUCAGAGAGAUGGAAGCUUGAUCCUAACUCUGAAUCUUAUGGCCUUAAGCAAAAUAUCUAACCUCUUUGUGCCUGUUUUCUCAUUUGUAAAAUGAGGAUAAUUAUAUUUCCUCAUAGGGUUAUUGUGAAGAUUAAAUGAGACAAUAUAAAUAAAGCACCUAGCAUU
rnacentral:lncRNA from 10 species